ACGGAGGGUGCGAGCGUUGUCCGGAAUUAUUGGGCGUAAAGAGCUCGUAGGCGGUUUGUCGCGUCUGCUGUGAAAACUGGAGGCUCAACCUCCAGCCUGCAGUGGGUACGGGCAGACUAGAGUGCGGUAGGGGAGAAUGGAAUUCCUGGUGUAGCGGUGGAAUGCGCAGAUAUCAGGAGGAACACCGAUGGCGAAGGCAGUUCUCUGGGCCGUAACUGACGCUGAGGAGCGAAAGCGUGGGGAGCGAACAGGA
rnacentral:rRNA from 1 species